rnacentral:ncRNA from 2 species
CUAAAUACAAAGCUUUAUGGUAUUUCUGAUUUUAAAUUUAAUUUAAGUCAGAGAUUUAAAAGGGAAGUUUGGUGAAAUUCCAACACGGUCCCGCCACUGUAAUGGGAAGUAAAUCUAUAUAGAUCCACUGUUUCUUAUAUAGAGUUCCUAGUAAAACUUAGUUUAUAUGUAUUUUGAUGUGUAUAAAUAAAAGUUUUUACUGGAAUUCCUAUUAAAAAGAAAUGGGAAGGCAUAGAUUUAUUAUGAUUCUAAGUCAGGAGACCUGCCAUGAAGAACAAUACCAU